rnacentral:ncRNA from 1 species
GGGCUAAACAUACUUUAGUCAGCUAUACCCUAGGUGGCUGGGGUAAUACUCCUGUCAAAUGGUAAUGCAAGUAUUCUAAGGUGGGUAUGGGGAGGUUAACACUCAGAUGCUAACUACAGGUUGAAGGUUCAAGUCCACCCAGAGGUCCCUCAGAAUAAAGGCCUAGUGAUCCACUUUCAAAAAAUCUGCCAUUGAAAACCCCGUGGAGCACAGUUCCACUCUGAUAUACAUAGGGUUGCCAUGAGUUAGAAUCAACUUGAUGGCAACUGUUUUUUGUUGUUGUUGUAGUUGUGGUGUUUCUUUCUUUCUUUCUCUCUCUCUUUCUUUCUUUUAGAGGGAAGAUAGAAACCACCAGUGGCACAGAGGGCAAAGCUGGGCAUGACCUUGGUUUUCACUAUGAAAGUAUCAGAAAUUUACGAUAGGAAUAAUUAGCUCUUGAUAUCCAAGCAUUAUAGUAGCAUUACAUUUUUAUCCUUAGACUUGGACCAUUCAUUUUAAAGCAGACUUCACCAAGCAUUAGGUUGUUCACCCACUAACAGGGAAUGUGAGCUGGGAUUAGAUGAUUGUGAAAUAGGACAGUUUUAGCCU